GUCUACGGCCAUGCCACCCUGAACACACCCGAUCCCGUCUGAUCUCGGAAGCUCAGCAGGGUCGGGCCUGGUUAGUACUUGGAUGGGAGACCACCUAGCAAGACCAGGUGCUGUAGGCA
rnacentral:rRNA from 1 species